AGAGUUUGAUCCUGGCUCAGGACGAACGUUGGCGGCGUGCCUAAUACAUGCAAGUCAACUGAAGCAAGGUAGCAAUAUCUUGUGGAGGUGGCGCACGGGUGAGUAACACGUAGGUAAUCUGCCUUCAGGUCUGACAUAACUCCGGGAAACCGGAGCUAAUAGCAGAUGAUGCAGCGGCUUGACAUCAAGACAGUUGUUAAAGCUUCGGCGCCUGAAGAUGAGCCUGCGUCUGAUUAGCUAGUUGGCGGAGUAAUAGCCCACCAAGGCUUCGAUCAGUAACUGGUCUGAGAGGAUGAUCAGUCACACUGGAACUGAGACACGGUCCAGACUCCUACGGGAGGCAGCAGUAAGGAAUAUUGCUCAAUGGGGGAAACCCUGAAGCAGCAACGCCGCGUGAAGGAUGAAGGGCUUUUGCUCGUAAACUUCUGUAGUGAGGGAAAAAACUUCCACUCUGUGGAAUAUGAUGGUACCUCAAAAGUAAGCCCCGGCUAACUACGUGCCAGCAGCCGCGGUAAU
rnacentral:rRNA from 1 species